AUGACCCAAUAGAAAAUAAGUGGGCAUGGCCCAAUAAGAAAUAAAAAUAAUUGGGCUUAGCCCAAAUAAGGAAAAUGGAGAAGCCCAUGAAGAGGUGGCCCAAAGGUCAUAAAGAAAUGAAAAAGGUCCAAUGGAAAGUUUGUCGUGGAGGCGUGCCAAACGAAGUAUGUGACCGACAACUAGGAAUAAUUAUACACGCGUACGAAUCAAUAGUGAAGUAAUAUCCCACUAUUAUGAAGUGAGUAGGGGGUGUCAAUUUUAAAAAUUUCGUAUAUAUAUACAUGUACGUGUAUUUUAUGUGAAGUGCAAAAUUUAUGGAAAGCAUGCGUUGAUAGAAUUUUAA
rnacentral:sRNA from 1 species